CAUUUACAAAACCUGUUGUCAAAAGGUUUUAAAAACACUUUAAAAAUAGGCCUUUAGUGCAAGUGAGUGAUUUCUUCAGUGGCUCUUUUCCCAGGACAAGACACAGGAAUACAAUUUCUGUUCAUUUCUCUUCCAGCAUGCUGUGUGGGAUUCACUGGCUUACUGGACAGCAGUUUUACUUUGUUUCUUCAGUUUCAGGUUUUACACUGAACUGUGAAAUUUCAGUCAUAUAAGAAACAAAAUCCUACCACUAACUGCAUAUAUCAAAUACCUAAAGCUUCAUUACACCGAAGAUAUCUGACAGAUUACAGUACUAAACUUCACAGUGCAAAACAUAAUUCUUCCACUCUGCUAGGCUCUUGGUAGGCUCCAGAUGUGUUUUGUCAAACAGAACUCCAAGGGGGGGAUGAGGCCCACUGGAAGAAAUCCAGAAGAAAGCAACAAGAGACUCAGAAUGUCUAAAAAAUGCAUGAUUCAGGAGGAAAGACUAAAUUAAGUGGUGCUCUUCAGUCUGAGUUAGGGAAGAAUUAAGAGAAUACAAAGAAUUAAAACAAAGAGAAAGGCAGUAAUCUGUUCUCAAUGUCUGUGGUGAGUGGAACAAGAGACAUAAGGCCCAGAGUAGAGCCAAUUUCACAUAAGAAAUGUUUUUUCAGGUGGAAAACAGGUUUUAGCAGGAGAAUAAGAAAGAUGUCUAGACAGGUGUAAAAUUGGCAUCAUCAGGAGCUGAGCACAUGAAAUCAUUCUCACCAACUCUGCAUAUGAGCAGAAUUGCUCUGUUGAAUUGACCUGUUGCUCAUAGAAGCCUCCUGUUCCACAACUCUAUAUGUAUUUUUAAUUUUCAGCUGUGUUAAUAUGACUGUCAUGAGAAGAAUGCGACAUUCACAUUCCCAGAGUUUAUGAAGUCCUUAAAGAGGCUCUGAAAUAAAUCCCACCAUGUCCUGGAUUUAAAAGUCCUGAGAGACCAAAAGCUUGUCAUUUGUUGUUUCUGAUAAACAGAAUCUCCUAAGUUUCUACAAAUCAAAGAAACUAUUCAGUUACAAUGUCAUAUUGGAAAAGGAUGGGCAGAGACAAGGAAUGAGCUUCUCUGUAGGAAGCUGGCAGAGGGUGUAUUCAGGCUCUGGAUAAAUUUGUUUCAAUAUUGAGCUCUUAGUCUCAGAUUUGAUUAAAGUAAGAAACUUUAUUUAUACAUUUAUAAUCCAGCUGUCUUCUACUCAGAAGCCUUUUCAGGCUGUCUAAGGGUUUAUUAUUUUGAUGGUUUUGAGACAGAUGUACUGGGAGCAACUGUCGAGAUGAAUAAUGUAUUUUCUAGAUUUCUGAAAAUCUUUUAGGAAAAAAAAAUGUGAUUCUUAAACAUCCAUGUAAAGACUGUUAGUCUUUACUCAAACCUGUUCAUCUGGAACUUGUCUGAAUAGAAGUAACAGGUCAUAGGUGUAAAUCAGCCUAAGGCUGAGUGAUGACUUAAACCAAAAAGGACUUAGAAAUCCAUGACCCUCCUGGAGACACCGUGUUCCUCAGAAGCCACCUGAAAGACACUGGUUCCUCUUGCAUCAUCAGCCCUGCCCUCCAUUUCCUCACAGUAGUCCCCAAAACAGAGAGGUGUGGUUGUUGUCUCAGGUGUUACCUUCUGACAGGAGACUGAUUUCAUCAAAUGGAUUUUAAAAGCUAAAAAGCAAAAGCCCAUUUAUGACUGGUGCCUGCCUAGCAAAGCUGAGGAUCACUCUUACUGAAAGGCAUAAAAUCAAGAGGCCACCAUUCCUCAGUAAAAAGAUUUGGACUUUUUUUUUGUUUAAAUUAAAAGUCUUUGCCGUUUGCUUUGUCUAGAUGAGCAUUCUGGGUGAGAUGAAUCUGAAGACAUUAUUUACUGUGCUGUACAGGCUCAGCAUUUCACUGGUCUUUUCACAUGCAGCCCUGCCAAGAGAGCAGCUAGGCCCCAGCAGGUAACUCAUGGAGUUACACAGCCCUCAAACACUGUGUACCUACCCUCUGCAGGGCUCAAAGACAAAAAUCAGAAGCUGGAUGGCCAGAUUCAUCAUACACCUUAGAAUACACACCUAGAAAUGUAACUAUGAACAUAAAUCAUCUUUAUGUCUAACAUUUAGUAACCUAAGUAGACUUAAGAUAACACUUAAGUGCAGGUGUGCAAAUCAUCUGCUGGGCUCAAUUUCCACCCCAAUUAGAGAGGAUAGUUUUCAGCUGUGCUGAAAAAGCCAGUGCUUUUUUAAAGGUGGCAUUCACUCUCCUUGAUUUUUUUUUGUUUGUUUGUGUUUUGAUCCUCUGGAGCUUUGGUUGAGAGCGCUGUAAAAAACGGGUAUCACUGAGAAGGAGCAACAUCCUGAGAUAAUAUUGUGAUACUGAGAAGGCAGUUGGAAGCAUUCACAGCCCCACCUCUACUACCAGAAGAUUUUGUUAACACCCAAAAGUAGCAGCCAUCAGCUCAGUGGAUCUUGUGUGAUUAAUCACUGAAGUGUUGAAUGGAAAUGCCAGAGAAGGAAUAAUCAACUACAUUUCAAGCUGACUGAACUUUUAAGAGCUGCCGCAUUUAUUAGUGUCUUCAAGAACAGACGUGUAUUAUCUCCUUAUCCAAGUUAAAGGGCUUUUAGGUCUUUGCUUGAAGGCUGUACUAGAAAAAAUUAAUAUUAGAGUAAUGAGUGAAGAUGAGGAUAGAACUUGUUUAUGCAGACCUUAGGCCCUUAAAGAAGAUCACUCUGAAGUCAAAAUGCUUGGUUAUGAUCCUGUGCUUGUGACCACAAGAUUCUUUUAUGUUUUGUCCUUUUCUGUAAAGUAUACCCACUAAGUAGAUGA